GGGGUCCCGGGACGCGCGGAGGUCCCGGAGCUGUGUCGCGGUCCAGGGGUGCGCGGUGUUCCCGGAGCAGUACCGGGACGGCGGGCGCGCGAGGACCCGGGGUUAUGCUGGGGACCCGGGGCGCGCAAGGGUCCCAGGGCUCCCCUCCGGGCCGCAGCUUCCGCGCGCGGCCACCAGAGGGCGCCUGGGCCGAUAUCCGAAGGGCCAACUUCAAUCCGCUCGGCUCUGGACUCCACCGGCGGGGGCAGAGGCAAACGUGGGGACAUGGACCAGACAAGUCCUGGACCCGUGAACAGCGAGAGAGGAGAGGGACAGGAGUGGGUCGGCGCUCCCAGACUGGCUGGAAGGCAGCACUCAAAGGAAAUCCCCGGAAGCUGGUAUCUACAACUUUGUAUCAAACCCCUGGUCCCAAUGCUGGCACGUGAUUAGUAGGUGUUCUGCAGACAGUAGCUGCAUUAAAACCGAACAACAAAAUGA